CGCACGCUCCUCUCGCCGCUGCGGACCUGACAGCGGAGGGGCGAUCUCGCCGCCGCGGACCUCAAAUUCCCCUUAUCAGAUCUGGCGGAGGGAGACCCUAUGUCGAACCCUCCCUACCUCUCGUUCCUCCAUCCCCGUCGAGCGCCGCCGCCCUCUCCCCGAUCCAGAUCCGCGCCCCAUCUUCUGGCCUACCUCUUGCUGAAGUCGUGGUGUUGGUGGUCAGGGCCCGAUCUCUGUGGCGGAUCUGGAUGGAGGGCGGGGGCGAGCUCGCCGUCUCCCUCGCGCUCGACGCCAGCGGGGACGCGGGCUUCGACGCGGCCGCCUACAUGGGCGCGCUCCGGGCGCGGCGCUUCGGGAGGUGGAUGCGUUGGUCGCCGCGGAUGGCAUCCACGCACGACCUCGUGACACAGCGAGUGCAUGAUUUUGUUCUUUUGAGUCUCGCUCCAUCAGAAAAAGAAAGAGACGAUGAAUUUCCUCUUGAAAUCGCUCAAAUUGGGCUUACUCUUUGCUUCCCCUCUGCCUAUAGGAACUUCGCCAAACUUCCGAUGGGCGUCGUGUGCGCCACAGACAUGCAGUUCAAAGGCAGAGUUCAGUUAACUCAAGCUAUUACAAUUCACUCAGCCGCGGCGUCUCUAGGGGCAGCGGAAGAACCGUGGGUGUGAUCCAUGAGCACAGACGCGCAGAUCUGUGGGGAAGCAACAUGCAGACAUGGAUGGAAGAUGGGAGACCUAGCUCUAGCUGCCUGAGCUGUCCACCGGCAAGAUGAACCCACAAGCGCCGUGGUGGACAAAGAGUUAUCUGGCCAUACAUUUUUUUUUGUAACAACGCGCUGACGGUGGCGGCAGCAGUUCAGUGCGGCGAGACGGCCGGUGUGUGCGCUGGGGCACUGGCGAGACUCCCUGACAGGCAUAUUCUGAUUGAUAUGCGAUCCCAUGACAUAGCAUAUGUGGUACCGUGGUUGUCACAUUUGGCGGUACUUCUGAUUGUUUGCUAGAUUACGAGAUAAAACCAAGUGCUUCUGCAACUCGGUUGCGGUUUUGAUAGGAACAUGAAUACUUGUGACAUGCCAUGGAGCAUGUUUGAUUAAAAGGACAUAGUUGCUCCAAUAUAUUGAGCAGGGAAGAAGUUUGUUACAAGCAUUUUAUAGAGUUGACGCAAGAGACAUCCGACGGGAUACAUGGGUGAAGGAAUCAACGAAGAAGCUUCCGUUCUGCAUGUUUCAUGUGGCAAUGACGCGUGGAGGACGACGGUCACGAGCGCAUUGUCGCAAGCUCACCGGAGGGAGGCACACAUCUCAUCCAAUGGAAAAGCAUGCUCCAAAAAAUCCCUAACCCUCCAUGGAGCCAUUGCUAGGGGGCGACGAGAUCAACGCCACCCACCACGACCACCGAGUUGUACAAUUGCGGAGAUUUCUUGCCUGGCGUAUAACAAUGCGUGUUCAUUGGGGUAGCCUCUUCUCACGCACAAGUCUCAGAGAGGCAGACAGCGACAACUAUUCAGAAUAACCACAACAAAAUUGUGACACAGGUGGUUAGUGGGAGAAGGAACCUGAGACCGCAGCCGAUUCUGCUGCAAGGGUGGUGUGUAGAAGAUAGUUAGCAAGCAUAUAAGUCACUCUGAAAAAAGUGUGUAGUUAUUGUUGUACUAGAGAUCCAUUCAGAUAUUUUCACUGAUAUGCAUGGUUGAAUAGUACUAUGUGUCAUAUGUGAGAGUAAUGUAAUACAAAAUGAAACAUGGUGGACAGGGCUUCGUGACUGAGCUGGCGAAGAAGAUGUCAGUGGUGGAAGCGGACAUGUUAUAGAAGAUGUUGAGGGUGGCACCGGAGGUAAUGGCCAAAUGGGGUUCCUCGGCACCGAAGAGAAGGAUGCUGCAGCGACACCGACACGUACUGGGUUCCAUUUCCAACCAGAGAGAACUUAUGAACGGUGUGUGCGCGAUCCAUUCAUUCUUUCGUUUGAUCUUUCCUUAUUCCUCUCAACUCAGAUUAAUUUUAUUUUGUAAUUAUGCAUGAUUUUGAUGGAUCAAUAAAUUUAGUGGCAUUAAUUGCAAUGAGAAAUAUCGUAUAUCCAUAAACUUCACUUUGUUGUUUUUCAGCUGAACAUGAUAGUUUGUGUCUUUUUGUUAUGGACUUCAAUAUGGUCGAUGGUAGCUUGCUGAAUAAAGCAAGACCCAACACAUAAUUUCAUGCCGAGAGUUUGACCUGUUUAAUUUUGUACGGAAAAUAUUUGCUGCUAAUAAUGAGAAAGUUCUGAUUUGUAAAUGCAAUAUUCUUCCAUGUAUACGGAAUUACAGAUUGAACAAAAUAUAAGCCAAAGUUGAAUCUCAAGCCUUAACUAAUACUAAAAAAUAAUAUAGGUUUGGUAUAUGUGUAGAAUAGGAUAUUUUUCCUUGAGAAUCUACUAGAUGAGGUGGUCGUUGUCGACAUCCUUGUGAAAGUUCGCAUGAUCUUAGCACGAACCAACUCACAAUGUUAUCUCGAGCAAUGCUUUAUUCACUUAAGUAUUUUUUUAGGAAAACACUAGGUUAAAAGCCUACUGUAAAAAAUUAUAUGCAAAGUUAUUAUAACUGCCAUUUAUGAUCACGAAUGAUCUUACUGAAUGACUGUUCUCAUGGCCUUCAAAGAAGAGAUAUACUAGAAGUUGAGUGCAGUUGGAGGGGCCUUAGUCCUUCUGAGCCAAGAAAAGUAGAUGGGGCCUGUCCAAGCUUUGAAUAGUAGAUGGGGGGAUGUUAAAAUAUUUUGUGAUGCCAUGGUUCUAAAUGGUUAGGUAUGUGUCGCAACCUGUAUUCUUUCAUGGGAUGAUUGGUCUUAAGCAUAAAAAGCCAUCCAUGUGCCACCUAUCACUUGUAGUGCACAAUACCGAGUUUUAUGUUUUUGUACCACUUUCUUUAUUUUCUGCAUUAGAUCUGACAGUAUAUGUUAGUGAAUUACGUUUUUAUUGAAAUAGAUUACAAGUGAAGAGGAUUUCAAUUGUU